rnacentral:sRNA from 1 species
UCUCAAAGAAAUAAGCAGUGCCUUUGU